rnacentral:tRNA from 1 species
GGGCCCGUAGCUCAGCCUGGUUAGGUUAAAAACCCCGGAAAGAGCGACAGGCUCAUAACCUGUUGGUCGUGGGUUCAAAUCCCACCGGGCCCACCA